rnacentral:rRNA from 1 species
GGAUCAUUACCGAAAAUUUCAAAGUUCCACUUUGAAAUCAUGAACACACUCUUAUAACCCGAGGUCGUGUAGAGGGUCCCCUACGUCGGUUAUCCUAG